UCUGCCAAACAUAGUUAAGUUUCCCCUCCCCACCAUCCCAGGUCCGGGAGGAGGAGGAGGAGGAGGAGGAGGAGGAGAUCACUGGCAUCCCCCGAAGCUCCAGCCCCGACCCCGUCCGGUCCCGGGGAAAGGAGCGUCCCGCAGUCCGGGGUCCGGCCCCCCGCGCCUCCCCGCCCCCUUACCGCGCUCGUAGGCCGGGCCGGGCGUCUGGGGGUCGCCUUCGGCCCGCAGGUGCUGGGGCUUGGCUUGCUUCCUGCGCGACAUGCUGGUCCUCCUAGCCGCCGAUGAUGUCCGGAGUGUCAGAGUUGCUUGAAGCAAUAAAGCGGCUGGACAACAGAGGAAGGAAAGCUGCUGACGGGACCUUGCCAAAAGCGCACCUGCGGCCGUGGAUGCUGAAAUGAAAACUGAAAUGUCUUGCCAAGAUGAAAACGGAGCCAGUUCUACGGUGGGAGUGGGAUGGAGGACCGAACGUCUUCACUGGGAACAAUCCUGGCUCCCCCUCCACGUCAUCCUGGGGCCACGCUUCCGGCCUGCCUGGCGCCAGCGCUGCGCUUAGGACGGAUCCCCAGGAAACCAAAGUGAAAGCAGGAAUCCGAACCGGCCAGUGGCGGGGUGUGGAUUCGAAGCGUUUUUGGCCAAGCUCCGAAGCCGUGUGGGAGUGUCAUUUUGCCUCCAUCUGAUGGUCUCCUGGAACAGAACUCUCACGCUGACCUCCGUGGACGUCCUCUGUUUCUACCCCGCCGCCCCAAGCGUUCAGAACGCGUGUUUACUUCAUUUGUCCUGACGGGCGCUGUAAUUACAGGCAGUUUGUUUCCUCUGCUGUAAUAUACGGUCUCGAGCAGGAAUAAAGUAACGUGGAAAAUUAACAUUGUGAUGUACUGUACGGUGGAAUAACACUAAAAACACUUAGCAGCGGGCGCACUGGAGGUGUUGUUUGUGUUGUGUGCAAGAGCUAUAAAGAUUUAAGUGGCUCUUUCUCAACUAUAUUUGCAUGAUUUUCGACUGCAGUAAAAUGAAUCUGAUCCGUCUCGGAG
rnacentral:lncRNA from 1 species